GCUUACGGCCACACCGGCCUGAGUACGCCUGAUCUCGUCCGAUCUCGGAGGUUAAGCAGGGUCGGGCCUGGUUAGUACUUGGAUGGGAGACCGCCUGGGAAUACCAGGUGCUGUAAGCU
ensembl:rRNA 5S_rRNA 5S ribosomal RNA